GCUGCACGCGCGCUACAAUGGUGCGUUCAACGAGUUUGACCCGGCUUGACAAGGCCGGGUAAUCUUCAACGCGCACUCAAGUUGGGAUAGAUGAUUGCAAUUGUUCAUCUUGAACAAGGAAUAUCUAGUAAACGCAAGUCAUCAACUUGCAUUGAUUACGUCCCUGCCCUUUGUACACACCGCCCGUCGCUUCUACCGAUUGAAUAAUGAGGUGAAUUAGGUGGAUAAGAGCGCUCCGCGUUCUUAGAAGCUUCGUGAACCUUGUUAUUUAGAGGAAGGAAAAGUCGUAACAAGGUUUCCGUAGGUGAACCUGCGGAAGGAUCAUUA
rnacentral:rRNA from 1 species